rnacentral:rRNA from 1 species
GAUGAACGCUGGCGGAGUGCCUAAUACAUGCAAGUCGAGCGAACGGACGAGAAGCUUGCUUCUCUGAUGUUAGCGGCGGACGGGUGAGUAACACGUGGAUAACCUACCUAUAAGACUGGGAUAACUUCGGGAAACCGUAGCUAAUACCGGAUAAUAUUUUGAACCGCAUGGUUCAAAAGUGAAAGACGGUCUUGCUGUCACUUAUAGAUGGAUCCGCGCUGCAUUAGCUAGUUGGUAAGGUAACGGCUUACCAAGGCAACGAUGCAUAGCCGACCUGAGAGGGUGAUCGGCCACACUGGAACUGAGACACGGUCCAGACUCCUACGGGAGGCAGCAGUAGGGAAUCUUCCGCAAAGGGCGAAAGCCUGACGGAGCAACGCCGCGUGAGUGAUGAAGGUCUUCGGAUCGUAAAACUCUGUUAUUAGGGAAGAACAUAUGUGUAAGUAACUGUGCACAUCUUGACGGUACCUAAUCAGAAAGCCACGGCUAACUACGUG